UCCGACUUUGCGCCGGCAGUCUCCUGCGAAAUAUACAACACAGGACGAGGGUUGCGCUCGUUUAUGGACUUAACCAAACACCUCAAGGCACGAGCUGACGACAACCAUGCAGCACCUGUCUUCGGGUUCCUUGCGGCACCCCAACCUUUCGGCCGGGUUCCCGAGAUGUCAAACCCAGGUAAGGUUCCUCGUUUACCGUCGAAUUAAACCACAUGCUCCACCGCUUGUGUGGGUCCCCGUCUAUUCCUUUGAGUUUUAGUCUUGCGACCGUACUACCCAGGCGGAGAACUUAACGUGUUAACUUAGGCACAGAAGGGGUCGAUUCCUCCUACACCGAGUUCUCAUAGUUUACGGCGUGGACUAC
rnacentral:misc_RNA from 1 species